GCAGUGAUGGUUCAGUGGUAGAGUUUUUGCCUUCCAAGCGAGAGACCUGUGUUCAAUUCGCGGCCAAUACA
rnacentral:tRNA from 1 species